rnacentral:misc_RNA from 1 species
AAGGAUCAUUACCGAGUUAGGGUCCUCUGGGCUCGACCUCCAACCCUUUGUCUACCUUACCUUACGUUGCUUCGGCGGGUCCGUCUUGAAAAGGACCGCUGGAGGGUAUAUUUACCCUCUGGCCCGCGCCCGCCGGUAGCCAUCAAUCAAACUCUUGUUAAAAACGUGUCGUCUGAAGUAUUAAACAAAAUAAUUAAAAACUUUCAACAACGGAUCUCUUGGUUCUG